GAGAUGAGGUCGUGGGGGAGGAAGGAGAAGAGGGCAUGGAAUUCAUGGGGGAGGAAGAAGAGGAGGCCAUGGAGGUCGUGGGAGAGAGGGCAGGAGGCCACGGGGGAGGAAGAAGAUGCCCCCUCGUUUCUGAAGUUGGUCUUCACCUCAAAUGCGAUGGCUGCUCCCAGUUGUGGUUGGACAUUCCUGUUCAUUGGUUGCUACUCAUAUGAGAUUUUUUUCAUUUUCCCUACAGAUUGGUCCAAUUUGAGCGGAUUCUCUUCCUCUUGGUCGGUCCCCUGGAUGUGCCUCCCUUGAUCUCUGCCUGCACAUCCUUUAUAAGCACCCUCCUGCGUCUCCGUUCAUGGAUCGACAGGUGCAUGGGCACUUGCCGCUGCAGCCAGAGUUGCCACCAAAUCAGAUUAGAAGUUUUUCAAACAGAUUCCUAUAUUUUGAAGUGGUUAUGCUCAUCACAUAGCUGGGCUAGAUCAUGUCUUACUAUAUAAUGUACUUCAUCGUGUCUCAAGCUUCUGUGCUUAAUGGUACUGGAAAUAUAUAAACAGGACAAAGAAUACAAGUUAGUAAUGGGCACUUCAUAUGUGAUGCCAUGUGAGGAAGCCUUGGUAUGAUACAAUAAGAGAUGGUAAUUUGAGGGAGGUCAGAAUCCAAAUUUGUAGCUACCUACCCAGGUUACUAAAUUCAGUAUACUAUAAAAAGUAUGUGCUGCUGUAGUAUUUAUCUACAAUUGAGUAUGGUUGUCGGUCUGUUUUUCAGAUUACUGCUAUGCUUUGCUUUGCUGGUCUAUUUAUCCACACUAUGCUUUGCUGGACUACCCAUUUAUGUUUCCCUUAGGUAUUCCAAACUUAGUCCGAUCCCAUGGGUGAUGGCUGAUUGAUGGCCUCUGCUUGGUACUGCACGAUAAGUUGGAACUACUGAUGCUCCAAUUGCAGCCAGCCUUUUCUUAAUCCUCGUGUAAAAAGAUGGCCAUGUCGGCGGCGCUACGCGGCAACCAUAUCUGCAAGAACCGCACCCGUCGCAGGUAGGAACGCGCUACGGCACCUCGAGUCACACUAAACGGGGGUGCAACCCAUCAGUAUUUUCAGGUAGAGUACACAGAGGGCGGAAGUACAUUGACGGAAAUGAUGACACCCUUCCACUGAAGCUCGCAGCCGGCACCGUGAACUACGACAAUCGCUUCAUGCUUGAAACCGGCAAGAAGGCCACCAUCACAACAGAUUGAUCAUUGUUUCGUCACCACGCUAACAUCCAGGAGGGCGACAUCCGCGCCUUCUAUUUCAAGCGCAAGGAAAGGCAUAAGGUCAUCACAUCGUCUCUCCCUCACCGUCCAUCGCAUCGUCUCUAGGCAUAAGGUCAUCAGCAGGAUAUAUAUGAACCAUCUAUCAUCUUUAGCUUAUCUCAAUGCUGUGCUCUAUCAUCCACCUUGUAAGACUCUGGCCUAUCUUAUAAUAUGCACCUACUACCUCUUAUAUGUAUGAUGAUCGAACACUUUUCUUCUAAGCUUGUG